rnacentral:rRNA from 1 species
CUACGGGACGCUCCAGUGAGGAAUAUUGCACAAUGGGGGGAACCCUGAUGCAGCAACGCCGCGUGGAGGAUGACGCAUUUCGGUGUGUAAACUCCUUUUAUAUGUCAAGAAAAUGACGGUAGCAUAUGAAUAAGCACCGGCUAACUCCGUGCCAGCAGCCGCGGUAAUACGGAGGGUGCAAGCGUUACUCGGAAUCACUGGGCGUAAAGGACGCGUAGGCGGGUUGGAAAGUCAGGUGUGAAAUCCUACAGCUUAACUGUAGAACUGCACUUGAAACUUCUAAUCUAGAGGAUGGGAGGGAGAGAUGGAAUUAGUGGUGUAGGGGUAACAUCCGUAGAUAUCACUAGGAAUACCUAAAGCGAAGGCGAUCUCCUGGAACAUUACUGACGCUAAGGCGUGAAAGCGUGGGGAGCAAACAGGAUUAGAUACCCGCGUAGUC